AUUCAAAGGGUGACGGACUAAACUUUAAUGAGAAAACACCAUCAUCUUCCAAAAGUAUCAAAGGACAGAAGACCACAGUAAAUAUUGGUGCAGAAAUUACACGGUGGGAAGCUCUAAAAGCACAGAAGGGAUUGAAGAGUGAUGUGGAACUAGCAUGCUUUCUUCUCAACAGGGUUCAGUUUGAGAACUCAAGCAAGAAUUACCACAACCGCAAGGAUUUCAGAGAAAAUAUCCUAUGGAUCUUCAAGG